CAGCCGUAAACUAUGCUCGCUAGGUGUCAGGCAUGGCGCGACCGUGUCUGGUGCCGCAGGGAAGCCGUGAAGCGAGCCACCUGGGAAGUACGGCCGCAAGGCUGAAACUUAAAGGAAUUGGGCGGGGGAGCACAACAACGGGUGGAGCCUGCGGUUUAAUUGGACUCAACGCCGGACAACUCACCGGGAACGACAGCAAUAUGUAGGCCAGGCUGAAGACCUUGCCUGAAUCGCUGAGAGGAGGUGCAUGGCGUAGACGUCU
rnacentral:rRNA from 1 species